rnacentral:rRNA from 1 species
UUUCUUACGGGAGGCAGCAGUGGGGAAUCUUAGUCAAUGCGCGCAAGCCUGAUCUAGCCAUGCCGCGUGGACGAUGAAGGCCUUAGGGUUGUAAAGUCCUUUCACCUGGGAAGAUAAUGACGGUACCAGCAGAAGAAGCMCCGGCUAASUCCGUGCCAGCAGCCGCGGUAAUACGGAGGGGGCUAGCGUUGUUCGGAWUUACUGGGCGUAAAGCGCACGUAGGCGGAUUAUUAAGUGAGRGGUGAAAUCCCAGGGCUCAACCUUGGAACUGCCUCUCAUACUGRUAGUCUUGAKUUCGAGAGAGGUGRGUGGAAUUCCGAGUGUAGAGGUGAAAUUSGUAGAUAUUCGGAGGAACCCCARUGGCGAAGGCGGCUCCCUGGCUCGAUACUGACGCUGAGGUUCGWAAGCGGGGGGAGCAAACACGAUYAGAUACCCWAUCUCCUGCUCUAGCAGAAUGMCAGUCGUCGGGCAGUAUUCUVUUCRGUGACACASCUAAC